rnacentral:lncRNA from 1 species
AUGGAACUAAAUUCUUUCUCCCCCUGCUCACUUUUCAACCACAAUGAGAUAAAGCACAUCUUUGUGACAGGACUCACUCUCACUUACUGCUAUUUUUUUUUUUCAACUUUAUACUAUUUGAACUUUAUUCUGCUGGUAUUGGUAAAGCUUUUUUCUUUUCUUUUUGUUCUUGUUGAUUUUUUUUUUUUCCCACUGUACAGUAGGGGGGUCAGGUUAUCCUUACAUGUAUACAUUACAAUUACAUUUUUCCCCCACCCUUUACUUACUGCUAUUUUAAAUAUGGCUUUCAUUUUCUUAGUGCCAGUAGUGGCGAGGCAGAGGAGGAUGGUGAAUAUUCUGAACUUCAAUUAGAUAAAAUAAUAUUUCCCUCAUAUAUUUAAAAAAAAAAAAAAAGCCACUCUAUGCUCUGAACUCUUGCUCUCAGAGGCUCAAAGAUGAAUGAAUCAGCGUUCAAGCAGGACUGCUUCACUCCCUGACAUGAGAUCUAUUACCUUCAGCUCUUCGGCUUGUAUAGGACAAAAUACUCACCGGGAGCCGACCUGUCCUUCAGUUGCCAAAGAAGAGCCCGGAUGAUACAAUAGCGCUCUACCAGCCCCAUUUCCAUGAUGGUUCAUGACAUAUUUUUCCCUGUUAUCCGUCUGUUUGCUUCAAUCCCUCCUCUCAACCUAAUGAGUUUUAAAAAGGACACUUCUUAAAUCGAAUUGCCUAAAACCACGGGCUGUCAUCUUUUUGCAAGGAUAAACAGAACAUAUUCAAAUUGCUCCUGACUUUUAAACACGUAAGAGCCGGGCAAAUUAUGAAAAUUUUACACAUUCUAGUGUGCAAAAUAUGUUUCUGGAACACAUCUUUCUAUCACAUUUUAUUCUUUUUUGAGACAGUUUUCUCAAGCACUUAAUAUCCAAUAGUCUUAUAUUUUUAUCCUGCACAUACCAUCUAAAGUGCCUUGCAUCCCCUGCCCCCCCCCCCGUUUUUUUAAACCCUUUUUCAAUGAUUUUAAUAUUGUCUGAGAUGAGAGGAUGCAACUAACUGUUCAGGUCUGAUAUCAUAUUGUUUCUCAGAUCCCGCUAGGGCAUCAUCCACAUACACAACAAAGUGAGAGUUAGAAACUGCAAUUUGGGAAGAGAAGGCUUGGGGAUUGUUCUGAUGGCGAAAUGAUUUGUCAAACAUCAGUCCUGAAUGAUGCGAGAUUUGUCGUCCUCCACUUUCCCAGAGUGCGUUUUGCUUUCUCCCAUAGAGAACAGAAACUAAUCUUCAGAAUCUUAACAUUCCAAGCCAGGUCUUUUGUGCCUGCAUCUUGCUCUCCCCGCUCAGUUCCGGACAGCGCUGGAGCGCGCGCGUGUUUACAUUCCCG